AUCAGAGUUGGGUGUGUGUAAGCAGUGCGUUCAUGAAAUUGCAAAGUUUUGAACGUGCUCUGCAGAAAGUCACACGCGGGAUUACUGAUUUGGAUUUGCCUUAAAUUGCAGGUUUGAUGUUCAAGGACAACACAGAGUGGCCAUCAGAGAACACUGGGUCAAAUUCUACGAUUUCAAAACUGUGAUCGGACGUAUUGCAUGGAGAGGAGUUGGGGGUAUUGUCCGGGGAGCGGGAAUUGGGGAGUGCUAGGUGUACAUCAUCGCCAUCUGAUCCGGGCAAGGUGGCGGCAGUAAAUGCCUUUGGCAGGCAAUCCUUUAGAUUUGAGAUUGUGUCGUCGCUAACAUAAGGAGUCUUGGCUUUUUUGAGCAUCCAACCCGUUUGUGCGACUAGUGUGGGCUGUAGCAGUUAAGUGUGGCGACAAUGGCGUGUUUUGGAAGAGGAUGGGUAGUUUAAGCAUGAAUCACAUAUAUAUAUGUGGUGAUUGAGGAGCAAGGCGUAUCUGUUAAAAUGCGUACCUUACUGAAUAUCUGACUGGGACUGUGAGUAUUCUUUGGGAGUGGCUCAACGUUUAUGUAUGUGUCGACUGCGGGGGUGCAUUGUGCGAGGAUUAAAUUAUCAUUGAACACGAUUGGAGACUGGAUGGCAUUAUCAAAAAUGGAAUGAAAACUGGAUUUACGUACAGAGUUACAUUUAAACGUAUUUUGAUAUUGAUCAUCUUCCAUGUUAUUAUAAGUGUUAACAAAAGCAGGAUCAGAAAUGUUUUCACAAAUAGUAUAAGAAUGUUUGUUAUUUGUAACAAAUUGUUUUGUGUUUACAAAUAUAUUGUCAGUGACACUGGACGAUAAAACAUUGUCAAAACGGGCUUUUGCAAUAUGCGGAUUGACUGUCCCGGUGUUUUCCUAGCACCUUAUACUGUUCACUGGUGGGGAGUUUGGUGGGUCGCCAUGAGUCGCCUCCUCAUCAGACAUGUUUCCAUCAUUGCCCGUUAAAGUCACAUAUAAUGGCAGCGUUUGCUUGGGUUUGGAUGAUCCCUUUCCGCGAGGCGAGGUUGGUGCUGAUCUUGGUCUCGGCGGAGCGGUUGGAUUCUGCAUUUUAAUGGUCAGGUCUACUGGCUGUUGUCUAAACCUUUCGUCUGCGAGUUGUAUGGGUGAUUUGUUUGCAUGUGUUUGAGAAUUCAUUUGGGCGGGUCGUGUAGGUUGUGUGGCGGUAUGU